rnacentral:rRNA from 1 species
UACGGAGGGAGCUAGCGUUGUUCGGAAUUACUGGGCGUAAAGCGCGCGUAGGCGGCUUUGUAAGUUAGAGGUGAAAGCCCGGGGCUCAACCCCGGAACUGCCUUUAAGACUGCAUCGCUUGAAUCCGGGAGAGGUGAGUGGAAUUCCGAGUGUAGAGGUGAAAUUCGUAGAUAUUCGGAAGAACACCAGUGGCGAAGGCGGCUCACUGGACCGGUAUUGACGCUGAUGUGCGAAAGCGUUGGGGGAGCAAACAGG